GCAUCCGGCAAGAACUUGGAACUGUGAUCUGUGUGGUUAUUAGCCGCGUUCGAAGCUCUUCACAUCACAGUCUGAGUUCUUGCUCGAUGG
rnacentral:pre_miRNA from 21 species